GCUGGUUUCUAUCUAGUUUGUUAUUUUUUCUGUGAUUGGAUGUUUAUUAUUUUAUACCCACCCAUGCAUAUGAGAGUGCAAUGUGUUUGGUUGGUAAUGUGUCAAUCAAAAGAGAGAGAGUUUGAGAGAGUCGCGUUCGAGAGAGUGGCGGAAGCAGAAACGCUCGUGCUAAAUGCAUGUUAUAUGGAUUUGUUUUCUUUAUAAACAGUGUUUUAGUUUGUUUAUGCUUUAAUGUUAACCAGGAGAUGUGUUAAAUGACCGUGAUUUCGUCUUAUUAACUGACGUCCAUUCAGGGAUUCAGGGACUCGGAUAGUGGACACUCCACAAUAAGUUCCCUUUUUGAGGGAACUCUACACUGCAUCAGAGCUGACACUAUGGGAACGCUUCUGUGAGGAAGUUGUGUCUGAAGCUCUGUGUGCACACAGGCCAAUUUAAUGGCUCAGGAAGGACACAUGAAGAAUUACUUAUGCACCAGAUCUCGCGCUGUGUUUUCUCCUGCUCUGGAAUAGAGCAUUCUGUCGAGCUCUGAGGAGCUUGAUGUGGGUGGAAACAGUAUAAUCAGAUGGGUGAAGUAGCCAUCUUUCCGAAGCUACAACAAAGUUUGGAUGAAAACAACAACAACAACAAUAGGUAAAGUAAUGCAGUUCAGGUUGUCAACAACACUGGCAAACAAGGUCAAGUCACAUCACAAGGUAAAACAGUAAUGAGAAUUUUUUUAUGUAUACAAUUUAUUUUAUUUUUUUUUAAUUUUUUUCUUAAAUGAGGUUUGUGUAGCGUCAAUAAGGCUUCGAUUAUUUCAUCCAAAUUGCAAGAUAUUAGAAUUUACUUGUAUGCUGAAAAACAGCUUUUCAAUGUAAGUAGUAAAAACACAAACACUGAAGUAUACUUCUAAUGUGAAGCUCAUCUGUGUGUCUCACUGAGCCAUUAUAAUACCAAAUCACUUAUUUAAAUCAGUCACGUAUGGGCAAUGGAAUGGUCAGAAUUUACCACGCAGAUGAUUGAUUUGCAUUGUUGAGAGCGACUGAGAGUUCCAUCUCACUGAGUUGGUUUAUCUGAACGCGAGAGUGACAAGCCGUGGCCUAAUGGUUAGAGAGUCCGACUCCUAACCCUAAGGUUGUGGGUUCGAGUCUCGGGCCGGCCAUGACUGAGGUGCCCUUGAGCAAGGCACUGGACCCCCCAACUGCU